rnacentral:rRNA from 1 species
AAAACAUGGUUUUUUGUUUUAUAUAAAAAAUCUGGCCUGCUCAGUGAGUUUUAAAUAGCUGCAGUAUUUUGACUGUACAAAGGUAGCAUAAUCACUUGUCCUUUAAUUGAGGUCUGGAAUGAAUGGUUUGAUGAAAAAUAUACUUUAUUUAUUUUUAAGAAAAAAUUUAAUUUUUGAGUAAAAAAGCUUGAAAAUUUUUUUAUAGGACGAGAAGACCCUAUAGAGCUUUAUUUUAUUAUUUUUGUAUUAUAUUAGGUUAUAUAUUUUUAAUAAAAAUGGUGAAAUUUUGUUGGGGUGACAAAAAAAAUAUAAUAACUUUUUUUAAUUAUUACAUUGAUUAAUGUAUUUUUGAUCCUUUUUUUGGAAAAAAGAAUAAGCUACCUUAGGGAUAACAGCGUUAUUAUUUUGGAGAGUUCAUAUCGAUGAAAUAGUUUGCGACCUCGAUGUUGGAUUAAAAUAAGAUAUAGAAGUAGAAUGUUAUAUUCUUGGUCUGUUCGACCUUUAAAUUUUUACAUGAUCU